rfam:Phaseolus vulgaris cultivar G19833 chromosome 3, whole genome shotgun sequence.
AGAGUAGAUGUGAGCCGGGAUGGCUUGCCGGCAUGUGCUCUCUGUGGGUAUUGCUGGAAAGUCAUUCUGGCUCAUGUUUCCUUC